rnacentral:rRNA from 1 species
GGACCUCAGAUCAGGCAAGACCACCCGCUGAGUUUAAGCAUAUCACUAAGCGGAGGAAAAGAAACUAACAAGGAUUUCCCUAGUAACGGCGAGCGAACCGGAAGUAGCCCAGCUUGAAAAUCU